rnacentral:rRNA from 1 species
UACAGGGGGGGCAAGCGUUGUUCGGAAUUACUGGGCGUAAAGGGUUCGUAGGUGGCCACUUAAGUCAGACGUGAAAUCCCUCAGCUUAACUGGGGAACUGCGUCUGAUACUGAGUGGCUUGAGUGCAGGAGAGGAAUGCGGAAUUCCAGGUGUAGCGGCGAAAUGCGUAGAUAUCUGGAGGAACACCGGUGGCGAAGGCGGCAUCCUGGACCGACACUGACGCUGAGGAGCGAAAGCCAGGGGAGCAAACGGG